rnacentral:rRNA from 1 species
ACUCCUACGGGAGGCAGCAGUGGGGAAUAUUGCACAAUGGGCGCAAGCCUGAUGCAGCCAUGCCGCGUGUGUGAAGAAGGCCUUCGGGUUGUAAAGCACUUUCAGUCGUGAGGAAGGUGGUAGUGUUAAUAGCACUAUCAUUUGACGUUAGCGACAGAAGAAGCACCGGCUAACUCCGUGCCAGCAGCCGCGGUAAUACGGAGGGUGCGAGCGUUAAUCGGAAUUACUGGGCGUAAAGCGCAUGCAGGUGGUUUGUUAAGUCAGAUGUGAAAGCCCGGGGCUCAACCUCGGAAUAGCAUUUGAAACUGGCAGACUAGAGUACUGUAGAGGGGGUAGAAUUUCAGGUGUAGCGGUGAAAUGCGUAGAGAUCUGAAGGAAUACCGGUGGCGAAGGCGGCCCCCUGGACAGAUACUGACACUCAGAUGCGAAAGCGUGGGGAGCAAACAGGAUUAGAUACCCUGGUAGGACAGUG